CCCUUAGAUGUUCUGGGCCGCACGCGCGCUACACUGACGAAUGCAACGAGCUUAUAACCUUGGCCGAAAGGUCUGGGUAAUCUCCAAAUUUCGUCGUGAUGGGGAUAGAUUAUUGCAAUUAUUAAUCUUCAACGAGGAAUGCCUAGUAAGCGCAAGUCAUCAGCUUGCGUUGAUUACGUCCCUGCCCUUUGUACACACCGCCCGUCGCUCCUACCGAUUGAAUGGUCCGGUGAAGCGUUCGGACCGUGGCCUUUGGACGGUUCGCCGUCUGUUGGCUGCGGGAAGUUCGUUAAACCUUAGCAUUUAGAGGAAGGAGAAGUCGUAACA
rnacentral:rRNA from 1 species